rnacentral:rRNA from 1 species
GAUGAACGCUGGCGGCGUGCCUAAUACAUGCCAGUCGAGCGAACAGACGAGGAGCUUGCUCCUCUGACGUUAGCGGCGGACGGGUGAGUAACACGUGGAUAACCUACCUAUAAGACUGGGAUAACUUCGGGAAACCGGAGCUAAUACCGGAUAAUAUAUUGAACCGCAUGGUUCAAUAGUGAAAGACGGUUUUGCUGUCACUUAUAGAUGGAUCCGCGCCGAAUUAGCUAGUUGGUAAGGUAACGGCUUACCAAGGCAACGAUGCGUAGCCGACCUGAGAGGGUGAUCGGCCACACUGGAACUGAGACACGGUCCAGACUCCUACGGGAGGAAGCAGUAGGGAAUCUUCCGCGAUGGGCGAAAGCUUGACGGAGCAACGCCGCGUGAGGGAUGAAGGUCUUCGGAUCGUAAAACUCUGUUAGUAGGGAAGAACAAAUGUGUAAGUAACUAUGCACGUCUUGACGGUACCUAAUCAGAAAGCCACGGCUAACUACGUG